UACGGGGGGAGCAAGCGUUGUUCGGAUUUACUGGGGGUAAAGGGCGCGUAGGCGGCCACCGCAAGUCGACUGUGAAAUCUCCGGGCUUAACCCGGAAAGGUCAGCCGAUACUGCGGGGCUAGAGUGCAGAAGGGGCAACUGGAAUUCUCGGUGUAGCGGUGAAAUGCGUAGAUAUCGAGAGGAACACCUGCGGCGAAGGCGGGUUGCUGGGCUGACACUGACGCUGAUGCGCGAAAGCUAGGGGAGCGAACGGG
rnacentral:rRNA from 1 species